GGGGAAUUUUCCGCAAUGGGCGAAAGCCUGACGGAGCAAUACCGCGUGAGGGAGGAAGGCUCUUGGGUCGUAAACCUCUUUUCUCAGGGAAGAACACAAUGACGGUACCUGAGGAAUAAGCAUCGGCUAACUCCGUGCCAGCAGCCGCGGUAAUACGGAGGAUGCAAGCGUUAUCCGGAAUGAUUGGGCGUAAAGCGUCCGCAGGUGGCGAUGUAAGUCUGCUGUUAAAGAGUCUAGCUCAACUAGAUAAAAGCAGUGGAAACUACAUAGCUAGAGUACGUUCGGGGCAGAGGGAAUUCCUGGUGUAGUGGUGAAAUGCGUAGAGAUCAGGAAGAACACCAGUGGCGAAGGCGCUCUGCUAGGCCGUAACCGACACUGAGGGACGAAAGCUAGGGGAGCGAAAGGGAUUAGAUACCCCUGUAGUCA
rnacentral:rRNA from 1 species